rnacentral:rRNA from 1 species
CCGGCACGGGUGAGUAACACGUAUCCAACCUGCCGUCUACUCUUGGCCAGCCUUCUGAAAGGAAGAUUAAUCCAGGAUGGCAUCAUGAGUUCACAUGUCCGCAUGAUUAAAGGUAUUUUCCGGUAGACGAUGGGGAUGCGUUCCAUUAGAUGGUAGGCGGGGUAACGGCCCACCUAGUCAACGAUGGAUAGGGGUUCUGAGAGGAAGGUCCCCCACAUUGGAACUGAGACACGGUCCAA